CGAAAUCGUUGAAUACAAAUAUUCUAAAUACUUCUGUGAAUCUUUAUCUACGCCUCUGUAAAAUCGAACGCUCCUCUGUCAAAAUCUGGAAAGACAGCUGUCAAAACAAUACUGGUCAGUUCGCGCAAAACUGUUGAAUUGUGCGUUUGUUGUUACUUCCGUUAUGAAACAGGUGCCAAAAUCGAAAUGGUUACGAUCUAAAAAUAUUGUCCAUCAAAUUCCUACCAUAUUUAUUUGAUAUAAAAAGGGACCGUGAUGAUCUCUCCCGGACAUGCUCUGAGAACAUGCGCAAUACCAUUAUACUAUUAUCACUAUUUGUUGAAAAACAGUCUAAGUAGGUUCAUAGAGACUAUAGAAAACACCAAUAGAUUCGGUUCUCUGCUGAGUGCUAAAAUUCUUUUUGUCAGACUAUUUUACAAUUGCUUAUAGAGUGGAUUGUGAAAUAAAAAAUUAUAGUGUC